GGCGCCGUGGCCGAGAAGUUAGGCAAAGCUCUGCAAAAGCUUUCUAGGCCGGUGCAAGUCCGGUCGGCGCCUCCA
rnacentral:tRNA from 1 species